rnacentral:rRNA from 1 species
CCUACGGGUGGCUGCAGUGGGGAAUUUUGGACAAUGGGGGCAACCCUGAUCCAGCCAUGCCGCGUGCGGGAAGAAGGCCUUCGGGUUGUAAACCGCUUUCGGCCGGAACGAAAUCGCCGGGGAGAACAUCCCCGGUGGAUGACGGUACCGGAAGAAGAAGCACCGGCUAACUACGUGCCAGCAGCCGCGGUAAUACGUAGCGUGCGAGCGGGGCGUAGAGCGACUGGGCGUGAAGCGUUCGCAGGCGGGUGAAAGCCCCGGGCUUAACCUGGGAACUGCGUUUGUGACUGGCGGGCUGGAGUGCGGAAGAGGGAGGUGGAAUUCCACGUGUAGCAGUGAAAUGCGUAGAGAUGUGGAGGAACACCGAUGGCGAAGGCAGCCUCCUGGUCUAGCACUGACGCUCAUGCACGAAAGCGUGGGGAGCAAACAGGAUUAGAUACCCGGGUAGUC